rnacentral:rRNA from 1 species
CCUGCCCUUGACUCUAGGAUAAGCCCGGGAAACUGGGUCUAAUACUGGAUAGGAACGUCUACCGCAUGGUGGAUGUUGGAAAGAAUUUCGGUCAUGGAUGGACUCGCGGCCUAUCAGCUUGUUGGUGAGGUAAUGGCUCACCAAGGCGACGACGGGUAGCCGGCCUGAGAGGGUGACCGGCCACACUGGGACUGAGACACGGCCCAGACUCCUACGGGAGGCAGCAGUGGGGAAUAUUGCACAAUGGGCGAAAGCCUGAUGCAGCGACGCCGCGUGAGGGAUGACGGCCUUCGGGUUGUAAACCUCUUUCAGUAGGGAAGAAGCGAAAGUGACGGUACCUGCAGAAGAAGCACCGGCUAACUACGUGCCAGCAGCCGCGGUAAUACGUAGGGUGCGAGCGUUAUCCGGAAUUAUUGGGCGUAAAGAGCUCGUAGGCGGUUUGUCGCGUCUGUCGUGAAAGUCCGGGGCUUAACCCCGGAUCUGCGGUGGGUACGGGCAGACUAGAGUGCAGUAGGGGAGACUGGAAUUCCUGGUGUAGCGGUGGAAUGCGCAGAUAUCAGGAGGAACACCGAUGGCGAA